GCUCUCCGGAGAAAAAGAACCGGUGAAAUGUAAUUGCGAAUGUGAAAUGUGAACUGGUAAUUGAUAGAAUACAUUUACACUAAUAUGUUACUAAAGUUUUUCGUGAUUUAUUACCUCUGAGAGGGGGAAAAAUAACAAUCUGUGUAAUGCUGGUGGAUUGAAAAAAUGCGUUCGUGGAGUGUCUUAAUCGAUGAGGUACGGGCUGUCCAGCGCUCCAGAACCGGCCGCAACUCCACCCUCGUUCGAUGAGGACAGCUUCGUACGCAGCAUAUGCCCUACCUGUUUGUUGUACAGCACGUUGUCCUUUGAGCUGUUAUUUUUAAUAAAAAAAAAA